CAUUAUAACAUAGUCCCAGCAAAGAUACUUUCUCAAUAUUAUUAUUUAUUACUUAUGAUCAAAAUAUUAAGGAUUUAUUGGAUUAGAUAAAUAAGAGUGCAGGUAAUAAAUAUAAUUUAAUAAAUAAAUUUUAUUUUGUCAAUGAAUAAUAAUGAAAAAAUUAAAUAUAGUAAGUUGUAUACUCAUCAGUACAUAGUGCAUCCCCAAAACAUUGCAAACUUGAUAUUGUUGGGAGAGAAUGUUGGUGCAUUGUACUCCUUGAUGACAACCCAGGAUCCUAUAUGGCAACAGCAAAAGCAAACUGUAUUUCCAAGUUUAGAUAUGAAUGCUUCAAUCAUCUCCCUACAAUCUUGACUUCUUCCAGCUUAAAAGAAAAUGCUGGAAGGAUAGCUUUUCAUCAGCAAUGAAGAUAUGAAACAAGCCAUUUGAACUUUCAUCCAUAUGCAAAGCACAGACUCUAAUGAGAGGGGGGCUUCUUUAAUCUUGUUAAGCAAUAUGAUAAGUGUAUCAAUAUCAGUAGGGACUAAGUUGAAAUAUAAUAUAAGAAUAUUUCUUCUUAUACAUAAUAUGUUUGGUCUGCAGAAUAAAAACUCCUGUUGAUAGCAGACUUGCAAAACUUAUUUUUGACUGUCCAUUGAAUAGCU
rnacentral:lncRNA from 1 species